rnacentral:rRNA from 1 species
GAUGAACGCUGGCGGCGUGCCUAAUACAUGCAAGUCGAGCGAACAGACGAGGAGCUUCUCCUCUGACGUUAGCGGCGGACGGGUGAGUAACACGUGGAUAACCUACCUAUAAGACUGGGAUAACUUCGGGAAACCGGAGCUAAUACCGGAUAACAUGUUGAACCGCAUGGUUCAACAGUGAAAGACGGUCUUGCUGUCGCUUAUAGAUGGAUCCGCGCCGCAUUAGCUAGUUGGUAAGGUAACGGCUUACCAAGGCAACGAUGCGUAGCCGACCUGAGAGGGUGAUCGGCCACACUGGAACUGAGACACGGUCCAGACUCCUACGGGAGGCAGCAGUAGGGAAUCUUCCGCAAUGGGCGAAAGCCUGACGGAGCAACGCCGCGUGAGUGAAGAAGGUCUUCGGAUCGUAAAACUCUGUUAUUAGGGAAGAACAAAUGUGUAAGUAACUAUGCACGUCUUGACGGUACCUAAUCAGAAAGCCACGGCUAACUACGUG